CUCCUACGGGAGGCAGCAGUGGGGAAUAUUGGGCAAUGGGCGCAAGCUGACCCAGCAACGCCGCGUGAGGGAAGAAGGUUUUCGGAUUGUAAACCUCUGUCGCAGGGGACGAAGGAAGUGACGGUACCCUGUAAGAAAGCCCCGGCUAACUACGUGCCAGCAGCCGCGGUAAUACGUAGGGGGCGAGCGUUGUCCGGAAUUACUGGGCGUAAAGGGAGCGUAGGCGGUCGAUUAAGUUAGAUGUGAAACCCCCGGGCUUAACUUGGGGACUGCAUCUAAUACUGGUUGACUUAGAGUACAGGAGAGGGAAGCGGAAUUCCUACUCUACCCCUCUAAAUACGUACAUAUUAGGAGGAACACCAGUGGCGAACGCGGCUUUCUGGACUGACACUGACGCUGAGGCUCGAAAGCGUGGGGAGCAAACAGGAUUAGAUACCCUGGUAGUCCACGCUGUAAACGAUGAAUACUAGGUGUAGGGGGUAUCAACUCCCUCUGUGCCGCAGCAAACGCAAUAAGUAUUCCGCCUGGGGAGUACGGCCGCAAGUUGAAACUCAAAGGAAUUGACGGGGGCCCGCACAAGCAGCGGACAUGUGGUUUAAUUCGACGCAACGCGAAGAACCUUACCAAGGCUUGACAUCUACUUAAAGUCAUGGAAACAUGAUGUCUCUUCGGAGGAAGUAAGACAGGUGGUGCAUGGUUGUCGUCAGCUCGUGUCGUGAGAUGUUGGGUUAACUCCCCGCGCCCAUGGCGGCCCGGGUGUUUGU
rnacentral:rRNA from 1 species